CGAAGCCUGACGGAGCAAUACCGCGUGAGGGAAGAAGGCUUUUGGGUUGUAAACCUCUUUUGUCAGGGAAGAAGAAUUGACGGUACCUGAAGAAAAAGCAUCGGCUAACUCCGUGCCAGCAGCCGCGGUAAUGCGGAGGAUGCAAGCGUUACCCGGAAUCAUUGGGCGUAAAGGGUCCGCAGGUGGCGAAUAAAGUCUGCUGUUAAAGACCGGGGCUAAACUCCGGAAAGGCAGUGGAAACUGAUUAGCUAGAGUACGGUAGGGGUAGAGGGAAUUCCCAGUGUAGCGGUGAAAUGCGUAGAUAUUGGGAAGAACACCGGUGGCGAAAGCGCUCUACUAGGCCGAAACUGACACUGAGGGACGAAAGCUAGGGUAGCGAAAGGGAUUAGAUACCCCUGUAGUCUUAGCUGUAAACGAUGGAGACUAGGCGUAGCUUGUAUCGACCCGAGCUGUGCCGAAGCUAACGCGAUAAGUAUCCCGCCUGGGGAGUACGCACGCAAGUGUGAAACUCAAAGGAAUUGACGGGGGCCCGCACAAGCGGUGGAGUAUGUGGUUUAAUUCGAUGCAACGCGAAGAACUUUACCAGGGCUUGACAUGUCGCGAAUCUGGCGGAAACGUUAGAGUGCCUUAGGGAACGCGAACACAGGUGGUGCAUGGCUGUCGUCAGCUCGUGUCGUGAGAUGUUGGGUUAAGUCCCGCAACGAGCGCAACCCUCGUCCUUAGUUGCCAAUAUUAAGUUAGGCACUCUAGGGAGACUGCCGGGGACAACUCGGAGGAAGGUGGGGAUGACGUCAAGUCAGCAUGCCCCUUACGUCCUGGGCGACACACGUACUACAAUGGUUGGGACAAAGGGCAGCAAGCUCGCGAGAGUAAGCGAAUCUCAUCAAACCCAGCCACAGUUCAGAUUGCAGGCUGCAACUCGCCUGCAUGAAGUAGGAAUCGCUAGUAAUCGCAGGUCAGCAUACUGCGGUGAAUUCGUUCCCGGGCCUUGUACACACCGCCCGUCACACCAUGGAAGCUGGCUACGCCCGAAGUCGUUACCCUAACCCGGUUUUGGGAGGGGGAUGCCGAAGGUAGAGCUAGUGACUGGGGUGAAGUCGUAACAAGGUAGCCGUACCGGAAGGUGUGGCUGGAUCACCUCCUUU
rnacentral:rRNA from 1 species